rnacentral:lncRNA from 1 species
CCUCCUUCGUGAAAUAAAAUAUAAUUCAAUUUGCAUUUCAGUCAAAAAGUGUACUAUAAGAGUAAAACGAUGACAGUUUACUCCUACAUUGUUGUUUUUUUCUUCUUCAUAUGAGCAUUUAUGUGUAUAUACUGAUGAAAUAUCCAAAGUAAACAAUCCGACCGGAUCACACUAACUCCAAACAGAUCGAGAAUGGAUAUGUUUAAUCAAUAAAGGCAACAGUAGUAGACAGCUGUUCAAUAGUCAUAAAUCGAUUGAGAUUCAACAGAACAAAGACACUGAACUGCUACAAAAAACAAACGACAACAACAUAGAAACCGACUAUUUUACUUUUUGAUAACAACUGCCAUAUUCCUGAAUUGAUACAUGACAUUUUAAGAAAAAAAGGUAGGUUGGUCUUGGUUGUAAGGCUAGCCAAACCUCUUAAAGGUAAGCUAUUCUAGCUUCAUGUAACGAGCGAUUUCAGUCCUUACCAUGCAUAUGCUUUAAUAUCUUAAUUAGUGGGGCUAUCGACUGAACUAGGAAAAUACCAGGUAGUCAUUUUGAACAAUAUAGCUACCGAAUGCAUUCAAAUUCAUGUAUUGAAUAUGCUUCUCUUCGGAAAAUUGAUGCCGUUUUAUGUGUUUGAGGCAAAUGCAAACCAGUCUUGUGUGUUUUAUACAUUUUGGAUAAUUUGUAUGUUUUGUUGAUCAAUGUGG